rnacentral:misc_RNA from 1 species
GUUCAAGCCGCCAAACACCCACCCGUCCUCUUCAUCUCCGACGUUAUUGCUGCAGCCACAGGCGUCUGAAGAGCCCCACGAAUACUGCGACCACUGUCAUUUUUCUUCACCGGCGAGCCCAUACUCACGAGCGACGCCGCAACCCAGCAUCACCCGCGCGACGGGCAGCGUGCGGCUACCACCACCAUACUGCAACGAUCGACGCGAUUUUCCGACGGCGUUGUGUGUGACCCUCACCUCUCCACGACCAG